AGAGUUUGAUCCUGGCUCAGGACGAACGCUGGCGGCACGCCUAACACAUGCAAGUCGAACGGAGAAAAUGAUUUCGGUUAUUUUCUUAGUGGCGGACGGGUGAGUAACACGUGAGGAACCUGCCUCUGAGAGUGGGAUAGCUUCUGGAAACGGAUGGUAAUACCGCAUAACAUAGCGAAACCGCAUGAUUUUGCUAUCAAAGUAUUUCGCUCAGAGAUGGCCUCGCGUCUGAUUAGAUAGUUGGUGAGGUAACGGCUCACCAAGUCGACGAUCAGUAGCCGGACUGAGAGGUUGAACGGCCACAUUGGGACUGAGACACGGCCCAGACUCCUACGGGAGGCAGCAGUGGGGGAUAUUGCACAAUGGGGGAAACCCUGAUGCAGCGAUGCCGCGUGGAGGAAGAAGGUUUUCGGAUUGUAAACUCCUGUCGUAAGGGAAGAGAAAGGACUGUACCUUACAAGAAAGCUCCGGCUAACUACGUGCCAGCAGCCGCGGUAAAACGUAGGUCACAAGCGUUGUCCGGAAUUACUGGGUGUAAAGGGAGCGCAGGCGGGCGAUCAAGUUGGAAGUGAAAUCCAUGGGCUCAACCCAUGAACUGCUUUCAAAACUGGUCGUCUUGAGUAGUGCAGAGGUAGGCGGAAUUCCCGGUGUAGCGGUGGAAUGCGUAGAUAUCGGGAGGAACACCAGUGGCGAAGGCGGCCUACUGGGCACCAACUGACGCUGAGGCUCGAAAGUGUGGGUAGCAAACAGGAUUAGAUACCCUGGUAGUCCACACCGUAAACGAUGAUUACUAGGUGUUGGGAGAUUGACCCUCUCAGUGCCGCAGUUAACACAAUAAGUAAUCCACCUGGGGAGUACGACCGCAAGGUUGAAACUCAAAGGAAUUGACGGGGGCCCGCACAAGCAGUGGAGUAUGUGGUUUAAUUCGACGCAACGCGAAGAACCUUACCAAGUCUUGACAUCCUCUGACGAACGUAGAAAUACGUUUUCUCUUCGGAGCAGAGAGACAGGUGGUGCAUGGUUGUCGUCAGCUCGUGUCGUGAGAUGUUGGGUUAAGUCCCGCAACGAGCGCAACCCUUAUGGUCAGUUACUACGCAAGAGGACUCUGGCCAGACUGCCGUUGACAAAACGGAGGAAGGUGGGGAUGACGUCAAAUCAUCAUGCCCUUUAUGACUUGGGCUACACACGUACUACAAUGGCGUUAAACAAAGAGAAGCAAGACCGCAAGGUGGAGCAAAACUCAGAAACAACGUCCCAGUUCGGACUGCAGGCUGCAACUCGCCUGCACGAAGUCGGAAUUGCUAGUAAUCGUGGAUCAGCAUGCCACGGUGAAUACGUUCCCGGGCCUUGUACACACCGCCCGUCACACCAUGAGAGCCGGGGGGACCCGAAGUCGGUAGUCUAACCGCAAGGAGGACGCCGCCGAAGGUAAAACUGGUGAUUGGGGUGAAGUCGUAACAAGGU
rnacentral:rRNA from 1 species